UACAGAGGUCUCAAGCGUUGUUCGGAUUCAUUGGGCGUAAAGGGUGCGUAGGUGGCGCGCUAAGUCAGGUGUGAAGUUUCGGAGCUUAACUCCGAAACCGCAUUUGAUACUGGCGUGCUUGAGGACUGGAGAGGAGACGUGGAAUUCACGGUGUAGCAGUGAAAUGCGUAGAGUAUCGUAAGGAAGACCAGUGGCGAAGGCGGGUCUC
rnacentral:rRNA from 1 species